GAUUAACAUGCACGUAUCGGUCCUUUAUACGCAAGUUACAGUUUUGAAUGAGCUGUGUUAUUAAUCCGACGUAAAACAUGGAUAAUAAAAGCCAGUAUUUUUUCAUAGCGGUAAUGUUGUUUCUGAAACAGCCGUUUAUUUUUGGGGACGACUGCAAGUGUGAAGGAUUAGUCAAUGUUUUUAAGAGUACAAUGUCGAGGGAAAUAUUUGAUUUGAAGAUGGAGAACACUAUGCUUCAAGCGAGGAUGGAUAAAAUGGAGUCGAUGCUUCAAGAAAAGUCUUCGUCAACAUCGUCUCGGGGUUUGGACACAGCCCGGCUUGAAGGGUUUGAAAACAGACUGUCUUCAAUUGAAUCAAAGAAACAACAUACUAUUGAGGUCCCUACUAAUAGAUUGAAACUGCACAGCUUGAUAGCGAAAGCUCUUGGAUCAGAGAAAGUAAAAAGGAUUCGAGCAGAAUCACAUACGAGGAAGCAGAUGCAAUUCUUCAAUCAAAGUAUUAGUGACUUGAAAAUUAAAGUUGAUUUCAUGCUGAACUCCAACCUAAUGUACAUUGUUGAUGACAUAGAAAAGGUGGAACGCGGUCUUCAUCAAGUUAAAAACGACAUCAGAAACAUUCAGUCAAAUAUUUCAGAACUGCAAAUUCAAACGAAUGCAUUAAGUGGCAAUGUUAUAUCAGAGUUAGGGACCGAUCUUGCUGCGAUUAACCAAAGCGUUGCGAUGGACAUAGCGGAAAUUGACCAGCGGAUGUCUAAAGUUCUUUCGCUUACCAUUUCUUGGCACCACAAGAGGUCAACAAAGCGAUGACACUUCAGUUUAUUGUUGCAGACAUUUUAUGCAUAUUAAAUUUAGUUCAAAACAAUCUUCAUGCCUGGAUAGAACACGGGCUUGCAUGGAUGUAUUAAGGUUAUUUUUGACAACACUUUCUUUCUGCAGUGCAAGCAAACCAAUGUCCAGAGUUGCCAAGUAUUAGAAAUGGAGAAAUAUCCUAGAAUACAAAUGAAGGAGUUCGAAAUGUUUAUGGAAGUGUGGCCAAAUACACAUGUAAUAUCGGAUACUAUUUGAAUAGCAACACGAAAUUGAAAGUGUAUGAAAGAGUUUGCCAAUCAGAUGGAACAUGGGAUGGAGAACAGCCAAUUUGUGACGUCCCAAGAUGUGAGCGAAUUCCCGAUUUUUAUGGAGGAGAUGUUACAUAUUUUGGAGAUCGGAAGCUAUACUCACAAGCUUUCUACAGAUGUGAUGAUGCAUUUUCCUUGAUUCCAAGACACGUUAGCGUGUCAGAAUGUGACGACACACUCAGAUAGAUACCAGAUCCACCAAACUGUUACAAAAAGGCAAAGAAAGAGAUUCCCGCCAAUGGAUAUAGUCCUCAAGGAAGUAGUGGUAUACUUCUUCAUAAGGAAUCAUAUCGAGUUCAUUGUUACACAAACUACGAGCUGAAAAGUGAUGCGAAAUAUUUAGAUCGGACACGUGAACGCAUUGUAAAUAUCAACGGAACACUUGAGCCAAAACUUGAAUGUGUUGAAGAACGUUGUGAUCCAGAUGACCUGUCCAAUGCAGUUGUAAAGGAUGAAAAAGGUGAAAGGAUUAGGACGAAGAUACCGAGUAGGGCAGAGGUAUACCUUUCAUGUCAAUACGGAUAUGAGUAUUAUUCUGAUGGUCGACCUAUGAACAAGCCGGUGAUAAGAGAAUGUGUUAAAGGAACAAUUAUAAAUGCACCAGAAUGCGAGGAAAGUAAGUUUACAUAUUGUGGCAUGUUGAUUUUAUUUUAAUUUUCCGCAACUACACUAAUAAUCGUUCUGGUACUACAAUCCCUUUAUGUCAUAAUUAUACAAAAUUUAUUUUAAAGACGCUCGCUACAGUUUCGUAUUUUUUGCCUCAAUAAUAGAUUUUGAUGAAAUGUUUUGUAUUAAAAGAUCAUGUUAUGAUGUUUUGAAAAAUAAAAUAAAAGUACUAAGUCACCA